rnacentral:lncRNA from 1 species
CAAAGAUAAAAUUUGUGUGUGGAGUAGAAGCAGCAUCGGGCAAGGUUGGGAAUACUCACUUAUUAAUUUUGUCCCCAUCAUACCUACUUUGAGACACUGAAUUUUCCUUUGUCCUACAGACAAGGAAAAUUUCCCCACUCCCAAAUUUGCUUAUUUCAAAUUCUAGAAUUGAAAACGAUGGUUUCCAAUCUCCUAAAAGAACUUCAUCUACAACAUUUGGGCAGAAAUAGAGGAGUUCCAACUCUGCAUGUUCUGAUGGGUUGUGUAAUAAGGAAAAUCAACAACAGGAAAUGGAUACACCCAUCCUGUGGACAUAGCUUGGAAGGUUUGUUCCUUAAGUUAGAGGAGGCUUAAGCAUCCAAUAAGAGACAAGGCUCAGAUUCACUCCCCAGGAGCUGAUUCUUAACUUUGGGGUACAUGCAACUUGUAACAGGGGCAAUGGCAGAAGAAGCCAGACUAUCUUGGGUCCAAAUCUUGGCCCUGGAAACAGUAACUGGAAGAUCUUGAGAGCGUCUCUUAAUUUCUCUUCCUUCUCUACAUGAAGAGGUAUGUUAAUUUAUUUGUAGUAUUACUUUAAAGAUCAGAAUUGUUGAAACUC